rnacentral:rRNA from 1 species
AGAGUUUGAUCAUGGCUCAGAUUGAACGCUGGCGGCAGGCCUAACACAUGCAAGUCGAACGGUAACAGGAAACAGCUUGCUGUUUCGCUGACGAGUGGCGGACGGGUGCGUAAUGUCUGGGAAGCUGCCUGAUGGAGGGGGAUAACUACUGGAAACGGUAGCUAAUACCGCAUAACGUCGCAAGACCAAAGAGGGGGACCUUCGGGCCUCUUGCCAUCGGAUGUGCCCAGAUGGGAUUAGCUAGUAGGUGGGGUAACGGCUCACCUAGGCGACGAUCCCUAGCUGGUCUGAGAGGAUGACCAGCCACACUGGAACUGAGACACGGUCCAGACUCCUACGGGAGGCAGCAGUGGGAAUAUUGCACAAUGGGCGCAAGCCUGAUGCAGCCAUGCCGCGUGUAUGAAGAAGGCCUUCGGGUUGUAAAGUACUUUCAGCGGGGAGGAAGGGAGUAAAGUUAAUACCUUUGCUCAUUGACGUUACCCGCAGAAGAAGCACCGGCUAACUCCGUGCCAGCAGCCGCGGUAAUACGGAGGGUGCAAGCGUUAAUCGGAAUUACUGGGCGUAAAGCGCACGCAGGCGGUUUGUUAAGUCAGAUGUGAAAUCCCCGGGCUCAACCUGGGAACUGCAUCUGAUACUGGCAAGCUUGAGUCUCGUAGAGGGGGGUAGAAUUCCAGGUGUAGCGGUGAAAUGCGUAGAGAUCUGGAGGAAUACCGGUGGCGAAGCGGCCCCCUGGACGAAGACUGACGCUCAGGUGCGAAAGCGUGGGGAGCAAACAGGAUUAGAUACCCUGGUAGUCCACGCCGUAAACGAUGUCGACUUGGAGGUUGUGCCCUUGAGGCGUGGCUUCCGGAGCUAACGCGUUAAGUCGACCGCCUGGGGAGUACGGCCGCAAGGUUAAAACUCAAAUGAAUUGACGGGGGCCCGCACAAGCGGUGGAGCAUGUGGUUUAAUUCGAUGCAACGCGAAGAACCUUACCUGGUCUUGACAUCCACAGAACUUUCCAGAGAUGGAUUGGUGCCUUCGGGAACUGUGAGACAGGUGCUGCAUGGCUGUCGUCAGCUCGUGUUGUGAAAUGUUGGGUUAAGUCCCGCAACGAGCGCAACCCUUAUCCUUUGUUGCCAGCGGUCCGGCCGGGAACUCAAAGGAGACUGCCAGUGAUAAACUGGAGGAAGGUGGGGAUGACGUCAAGUCAUCAUGGCCCUUACGACCAGGCUACACACGUGCUACAAUGGCGCAUACAAAGAGAAGCGACCUCGCGAGAGCAAGCGGACCUCAUAAAGUGCGUCGUAGUCCGGAUUGGAGUCUGCAACUCGACUCCAUGAAGUCGGAAUCGCUAGUAAUCGUGGAUCAGAAUGCCACGGUGAAUACGUUCCCGGGCCUUGUACACACCGCCCGUCACACCAUGGGAGUGGGUUGCAAAAGAAGUAGGUAGCUUAACCUUCGGGAGGGCGCUUACCACUUUGUGAUUCAUGACUGGGGUGAAGUCGUAACAAGGUAACCGUAGGGAACCUGCGGUUGGAUCACCU